UCGUGUUCUGAUUGGGACUUUCGGUUCGCUAUUGGACGGAGUGCGAAGCAUGAAGUGAAAGUAGCAGUGAGAAAAACCAAUUUGUAGAAGAAUUUGGCGAGGUUUUCCCUUUUUCAGUUUUAGAACUGCGAUUGCAAUUGUUGCAAAAUUCUUCAGUAAUGUUAGAUUUCUGCAAAAUAUCUUUACCGACUGAACGUCUAUACCAAUGUUUCUGCUGUAACGUUGGUGUGUAGGAGGAAGUGGAAGGAACAGGUUCGGUAUGAGUGAGGAGAGUGGAGACCAGGGUCAAAGUUCAAGUGUUCCCAAAAACAAUAAUGAAACUAUAAAUUCUGACGAGAAAAAGAUUGAAGAAAAUCCACCAGAAGAUUUGACAGGUCAAAUUCCAGAAGAUUUGACAGGUCAAAUUCCAGCAGAUGUUAUCUUAAAAAAGUGUUUGGGUAACAAUUCAGGGGAUCAAGGUGAGUCCGAAGGUGUGGAUGAGGACCAAGUAACAGGAGUUGAAUCCAGGGAAAAGACAUCAGAGAAACGGCAGAAGGCUGUAGAGGAAAAUUGCGAUUCAGGGGUUGCAAGUGAGUCAGAAGGUGUGGAUGAGGACCAAGUAACAGGAGUUGAAUCCAGGGAAAAGAAAUCAGAUAAACGGCAGAAGGCUGUAGAGGAAAAUUGCGAUUCAGGGGUUCAAGGUGAGUCAGAAGGUGUGGAUGAGGACCAAGUAACAGAAGUUGAAUCCAGGGAAAAGAAAUCAGAGAAACGGCAGAAGGCUGUAGAGGAAAAUUGCAAUUCAGGGGUUCAAGGUGAGUCCGAAGGUGUUGAUGAGGACCAAGUAACAGGAGUUGAAUCCAGGGACAAGAAAUCAGAGAAACGGUGGCAGAAGGCUGUAGAGGAAUAUUGUCAAUUCCUGGAAUACAUUUGGAAAAAUUACAGAUUUGGCCUCAUAAUGCACACAAGUUUUACGUUGGCCUUGAUGUUGGGUUGGACUGUAAUUUGGCAGCCUGUUCAGGACAGAAUUUAUUAUCAUAUUUUGAAUUAUCCAAAACCCCCGGAGUUAGAUCCUAAUCAAAUAACUGAUUUCAUGAAACAACACAAGCAAAAUUCUCAAUGUGAUUUGACAGAACUUCAGGAAAAGUAUACCACACUUCAGGAAAGUUAUAGCUCUCUGGAAGAAGAUAUGUUGACAUUACAGAAUACAUUACACACAAAUUAUACAAAAUUAAAUGAAACACUAGCAAAGCAUGAAAAACGAAUCAGUAACACAAGUUCGUCAUUGGAAUCCAUAGGUUCGAAUGUCACUGACUUUGAAGGCAAGCUUCAGCUGCAGACGAAGCAGACGCACCGCCUACAGAGGGAUGUGGACAGCAACAUACUCAAACAGAUCUCCGAAGAGAUAUGGAAAUAUCUGUCGGUCAUCGUAGCCGUUGGUGAGAUCGGCCUGUUCUUGUAUGUGAUCAAGUUGAAGUCUUUGCUAGGAAACAGGGGCAGACAACCCCAGGCACUGGUACAGCAAACAGAUACAGUGGACCGACAAGACACAAACCGAGAUGGACAUGACAAUCAGCCCCGGUCUGUUUUGAAUGGAGCCUUUAAAACAUCCACCGACAACUCUGUGUGUGUUCUCAGCUUUAAUGGAGGUUCUGCUCACACAAAGCAUGUCAAAUUGUCAUGGUCAUUCUUAGAUAAAAAGGUCAAGGUUACUGAUGUUGUGAUACACGGAGAAGGGGAAAUCAUUAACAUCCCUCCUUCCAAGAUUGUUUUGGUGCAUGUUGACUUCAACGCCCGCAACAUAAUCCUGGAGAACCCCGAACGUGAGAUAGGGGAGUUGAGGAGGACAACAGUUCAGGCCUUGUGGAGGAUGAAUGAUCAGACAGGAAAAAAUGUCUAAUAACCCACCUGCAAUGUCCUUAUGCACUACAUUUGUGUACAACGACCCGGACGACAGACGCUGCGCCAUGGGACAAAUUCUGCAGACAACCACUACAAUAUUGACAGCAAAAUUCCGCCGUUUACCAAUAGACCGAUGUCAUUCUGUUUUACUACUAUGAGGAGAGGAACGCCAAGCCUCUGGGUGAUCAAGAUCUCUACAGCUCGGAUCUAGUGUCAGUCAGA
rnacentral:misc_RNA from 1 species